UAAUUGCGUGUUGUUACUUACCAAUUUGUGUGAAAAGUUUUAAUAAAUGUAUCUCAUGAACCGUAAGUUUGCGCAACCUAAAUCUUUGCAAAACUCUUUCUUUUAGUGAGUACUAUCUACAAAAAAAUGGGCAUUUAAAUCGACGGUCCAUAUUGGAAAGAUUAUCCAAAACAGCUUCACUAUUAACUAUGUCUAAUGAAAACUUUAUUUUUAGUGUUAAAGUUUGGGCUAAAUUUUGUUUUCCUAAUGGUGAUGGGACAUCCAUUGAAUCAUUAAAAACUGCCCAGCAUAGGAUACUAUGUGAAAAUCAUUUGAAUGAAUCUUCAUUUACCAGCAGCGAUAGGAAAAGACUUAACAAGUUAGAUUAAGAGUGAAUAGAGGAGGAUAUAGACCAAUUAAAAAACAAACAUUGUAGUCCAUAUAGAGCAAGUUAUGACAUCCAAGAACCAUCAACUAGCAAAGGUAUUUUGUAGGACUUGGACGUGAAAAAGUUCAGUGAACUUACACCUCAAAAGCAAACGCUGUCUAAGAGAUGCAGAAAAAAUCUAUCUGAAAUAGUGAGGCUCUGAAAAAAGUUUCAAGGAGAUUGUGACACAGCAGACAAGUCAGCAGCUCUUGUCGAGGAGGUACAGUAAAGUGGAGCCACAUAGAGGAGUUUUAUAAUAAAGAUCGCGAGAAUCCCAACCGUGUUUGCUCCAGCUUUAACCCAGCACCACUUACAACCAGUACAGAAUGGCAAACAGAAAAUCAAAGAGCGCCUAGCAGAUCAAAUUUUAAGCCAUUCGGUUGCAGUUGGAAUAUUUGCCAAAAUGAAUGAUGACAAGACGCCCCUGGAACAACUGUCGCUGGACAAGCUUUUCGACUGAACGGAGAUUCGACCGACAGGAAAGAGGUAUAAACACUUAUUAUAAUAAUACUUGACAUCUGUAAUUGUGGAUGUGAUCCAAACCCCACGUCGGUCCAAUUAAAAACUAGCUUAGGCAAUUAGUAGCAGCGUUUUUAAUACGCUGAAAUUAUUAUUCUUCGAAGACACUAAACCUAGCUGCGCAACUGAAUAUCCCUGUAACAGCCAGGUGGAACCUCCAACCUCCCAGGGAAAUUAAGUGGCAUCGCCGACUCAGCUACGCCUACGUCUGGCUAUGCUCUCGGGGUGUA